CCUACGGGUGGCUGCAGUGGGGAAUAUUGGACAAUGGGCGAAAGCCUGAUCCAGCCAUGCCGCGUGUGUGAAGAAGGCCUUCGGGUUGUAAAGCACUUUCAGUGGGGAAGAAAGCCUUGGGGCUAAUACCCUGGAGGAAGGACAUAACCCGCAGAAGAAGCACCGGCUAACUCCGUGCCAGCAGCCGCGGUAAUACGGAGGGUGCGAGCGUUAAUCGGAAUUACUGGGCGUAAAGCGCGCGUAGGCGGUUUGAUAAGUCGGUUGUGAAAGCCCCGGGCUCAACCUGGGAACUGCAACCGGAACUGUCAGGCUAGAGUGCAGGAGAGGAAGGUAGAAUUCCCGGUGUAGCGGUGAAAUGCGUAGAGAUCGGGAGGAAUACCAGUGGCGAAGGCGGCCUACUGGACUGACACUGACGCUGAGGCACGAAAGCGUGGGUAGCAAACAGGAUUAGAUACCCUAGUAGUC
rnacentral:rRNA from 1 species